rnacentral:rRNA from 1 species
UACAGGGGGGGGCAAGCGUUGUUCGGAAUUACUGGGCGUAAAGGGCUCGUAGGCGGCCAACUAAGUCACACGUGAAAUCCCCAGGCUUAACCUGGGAACUGCGUGUGAUACUGGAUGGCUUGAAUUCGGGAGAGGGAUGCAGAAUUCCAGGUGUAGCGGUGAAAUGCGUAGAUAUCUGGAGGAAUACCGGUGGCGAAGGCGGCAUCCUGGACCGACAUUGACGCUGAGGAGCGAAAGCUAGGGGAGCAAACGGG